rnacentral:rRNA from 1 species
GACGAACGCUGGCGGCGCGCUUCACACAUGCAAGUCGAACGUGAAGCCCGGGCUUGCCCGGGUGGAAAGUGGCGAACGGGUGAGUAACACGUGAGCAACCUGCCCCGAAGACCGGGAUAACACCGGGAAACCGGUGCUAAUACCGGAUGCCCUCGCCGGACCGCAUGAUCCGGCGAGGAAGGCUCCGGCGCUUCGGGAUGGGCUCGCGGCCUAUCAGCUUGUUGGUGGGGUCAAGGCCCACCAAGGCGACGACGGGUAGCUGGUCUGAGAGGAUGUCCAGCCACACUGGGACUGAGACACGGCCCAGACUCCUACGGGAGGCAGCAGUGGGGAAUCUUGCGCAAUGGGCGAAAGCCUGACGCAGCGACGCCGCGUGCGGGAUGAAGGCCUUCGGGUUGUAAACCGCUUUCAGCAGGGACGAAAUUGACGGUACCUGCAGAAGAAGCCCCGGCCAACUACGUGCCAGCAGCCGCGGUAACAC